rnacentral:lncRNA from 1 species
GGUGACCGCGCGACUCGGCGCCCGCCCGCGGAUAGAGGGGAGCAAUCAGCAGCUUGGAAAUUCAGUCAAGUGAUCUGGCGGGAUGGGCAUUUGCCUGACAUAUUUUAUAGAGGAAUUGGAUGGCAUAAGUGAUUAAGGUGGUAUUCAGGGUUUCUGAAGCCUGUGAAAGGUAGAAACUCAACCAUGAUUUCUUUUUCAACUCUACAGCAUUCUCUUCCUU